AUUGAACGCUGGCGGCAGGCCUAACACAUGCAAGUCGAACGGUAACAGGAAGAAGCCUGCUUCUUUGCUGACGAGUGGCGGACGGGUGAGUAAUGUCUGGGAAACUGCCUGAUGGAGGGGGAUAACUACUGGAAACGGUAGCUAAUACCGCAUAACGUCGCAAGACCAAAGAGGGGGACCUUCGGGCCUCUUGCCAUCGGAUGUGCCCAGAUGGGAUUAGCUAGUAGGUGGGGUAACGGCUCACCUAGGCGACGAUCCCUAGCUGGGCUGAGCGGAUGCCAAGCCACACUGGAACUGAGACACGGUCCAGACUCCUACGGGAGGCAGCAGUGGGGAAUAUUGCACAAUGGGCGCAAGCCUGAUGCAGCCAUGCCGCGUGUAUGAAGAAGGCCUUCGGGUUGUAAAGUACUUUCAGCGGGGAGGAAGGGAGUAAAGUUAAUACCUUUGCUCAUUGACGUUACCAGCAGAAGAAGCACCGGCUAACUCCGUGCCAGCCGCCGCCGUAA
rnacentral:rRNA from 1 species